GCUAAACGCGAAGAACCUUACCUGGCCUUGACAUGUCCGGAAUUCUGCAGAGAUGCGGAAGUGCCUUCGGGAAUCGGAACACAGGUGCUGCAUGGCUGUCGUCAGCUCGUGUCGUGAGAUGUUGGGUUAAGUCCCGCAACGAGCGCAACCCUUGUCCUUAGUUGCCAGCGAGUAAUGUCGGGAACUCUAAGGAGACUGCCGGUGACAAACCGGAGGAAGGUGGGAUGACGUCAAGUCCUCAUGGCCCUUACGGCCAGGGCUACACACGUACUACAAUGGUCGGUACAGAGGGUUGCCAACCGCAAGGUGAGCAAUCCCAGAAAGCCGAUCCCAGUCCGGAUCGGAGUCUGCAACUCGACUCCGUGAAGUCGGAAUCGCUAGUAAUCGCGGAUCAGCUAUGCCGCGGUGAAUACGUUCCCGGGUC
rnacentral:rRNA from 1 species